GCUGCAGGGAGGGCAGCUCCCGGCCGCGGGCGAUGUGAGCUUCCAGCCUCCCCAUCGCCCUUCUGCCCUGGGAGGAGCGAGGGGAGAGGGCUGGGAAAUUCCCUUCGCGGGGUGCUGGGGUGGCCCCGGUGAAGUGCCGUGUUUCGGUCGGAGCUGCUCGUUCAGCGUCCUUAGUCAAAACAGAUCUUGGAGAGAGUUUAUGUUUUACUGGGGCACUGCUAAAACCGUCCCGCUUAGGCUUAAUCAGGUACUCUAGUAAAAAUGCAGGCUGGAGGCGGCUAGGGAUAGUGUGACAAUUCCUUGCCUCGCAUGUUUUGAGAGAGGACCCAUCAGAGAUCCUUAACCUUCUCUUAGUUGCGCUUUCAGCAGGGAAGCUGAGAUGAAAGAAGCCAACCAUGAGACGUCACAGGAGUUUGUACUGCCCAUCUCCACAAUUACUAACAAGUAAGCACUAUAUGAUAUUAUAGGACGGAGAUGAACUGGGUCUUUGUUAAUGACAGUUGUCACACAGCUGAGGAAUACUUACGUGAUUUCCACAAGAGGAAACCUUUGAAACUCAUUACCAGAUGCAUAAUUCAACCAAUGCCACAACCUUCCCUGCAGUGUGAAGAUGAACAUUUAAAAUGCCUUUCCUCUGAACACAGUGAGGAACCUCAAGAAAGGACAAGGGAGGAUGAUGAAAGCAUCAUUCUUACUGAUGCUUUUGAGGAUGAGGAGGAUCUAGAGCAUCUGGAGAUACUUUCAUCAUUCCUCCAUUAUCCUUAUGAGGAAGACUCUUGAUUGUUCGCAUUACACCAUUGGUUGGCAGCUGCAAGAGGAAAUGCUGCUGUUGUACCAGAUUGAAGUCAAGAAAGUUGUGUAGCCAUUGGAUACAAUUAGGACUGUCUGGACUCUUCUGGACAUGGGUGCUUUUCAGGUGGAUGUGUUAAAUUAGAGCUCUGGUGUGCAAGUGGUCUGUUAAGUUACAGUGUUCCUGUCUAGAUCAUCACCACCCUCUGGGACUGGGUUUCAGACAAGUCACUAUGAGGCUGCACAGCCCACGUGGCCAGAACGAUGCAUCCAUUUCUUCUCUCCAUACAUCCUUUCAUGUUGUUUGAAUGUACUGGGUCUGAUAAAGCAUGGUUUGUUCGGUUUCUUUUUAAAUAGCCAUUCAUCAUCUGCACCCACACAGGCAUGCUUGGCUGUGGAGAUAUCGGUGCUGUAUGUGCUUAUGUAUCACUAGAGCUUUCCUUGUGAGAACUGAUGAACGAGGGGAGGGUUGUAUGCUUGUCUUCCAUAAGGGAAGUGGGAGGAGUAUGUGAUUCCAUGCAUCUUAGGUCCAGGUGGAAGAAAGCAUUUAUCUUGCCCAGCUAUUGCAUUGCAGUAAGAAAUGUUUAAGAAUUUUAAAAUCAAAAAAUUAUAAUAAAAGUAAUGAAAAU